rnacentral:rRNA from 1 species
GGGGGAAAGCGGGGGAUCGAAAGACCUCGCGCGAUUAGAGCGGCCGAUGCCUGAUUAGCUUGUUGGUGGGGUAAAAGCCCACCAAGGCGACGAUCAGUAGCUGGUUUGAGAGGACGAUCAGCCACACUGGGACUGAGACACGGCCCAGACUCCUACGGGAGGCAGCAGUGGGGAAUUUUGGACAAUGGGGGAAACCCUGAUCCAGCAAUGCCGCGUGAGUGAAGAAGGCCUUCGGGUUGUAAAGCUCUUUUGUCAGGGAAGAAACAC